rnacentral:rRNA from 1 species
AGAACGAACGCUGGCGGCAGGCUUAACACGUGCAAGUCGAGCGCCCCGCAAGGGGAGCGGCAGACGGGUGAGUAACGCGUGGGAACAUACCCUCCGGUUCGGAAUAGCUCAGGGAAACUUGGAUUAAUACCGGAUACGGCCUAGCGGCGAAAGAUUCAUCGCCGGAGGAUUGGCCCGCGUUCGAUUAGCUAGUUGGUGAGGUAACGGCUCACCAAGGCGACGAUCGAUAGCUGGUCUGAGAGGAUGAUCAGCCACAUUGGGACUGAGACACGGCCCAAACUCCUACGGGAGGCAGCAGUGGGGAAUAUUGGACAAUGGGCGCAAGCCUGAUCCAGCCAUGCCGCGUGAGUGAUGACGGCCUUAGGGUUGUAAAGCUCUUUCGCUAGGGACGAUAAUGACGGUACCUAGACAAGAAGCCCGGCUAACUUCGCGCCAGCAGCCGC